rnacentral:sRNA from 1 species
UGCAUCUGCAGCCCAUGAGGAUGAGAACCUCCGGGGGCAGGGAGGUUCGACUCGAGCGAAGCGAGAGAACGUUGCGCCAGCAACGGCCCGCAGGGCGA